rnacentral:rRNA from 1 species
CCUACGGGUGGCAGCAGUAGGGAAUGUUCGUCAAUGGGCGCAAGCCUGAACGAGCAAUGCCGCGUGAAAGAGGAAGGUCUUCGGAUCGUAAAGUUCUGUUGAAGGGGAAAAAGAGCGGAGAGAGGAAAUGCUUUCUGAUUGAUAUUACCCUUCGAGGAAGUCACGGCUAACUACGUGCCAGCAGCCGCGGUAAUACGUAGGUGGCGAGCGUUAUCCGGAAUGAGUGGGCGUAAAGGGUGCGUAGGCGGCCUGCAAAGUCUGGAGUGAAAGGUACCGGCUCAACCGGUACAGGCGCUGGUAACUGGCGGGCGAGAGGGCAGUAGAGGGCGGUGGAACUCCAUGUGUGGCGGUAAAAUGCGUAGAUAUAUGGAAGAACAUCAGUGGCGAAGGCGGCCGCCUGGCCUGUUAACUGACGCUGAGGCACGAAAGCGUGGGGAGCAAAUAGGAUUAGAUACCCUUGUAGUC